UGGUUAUGUGCAAUAGGUGGUGAAAUUUGAUUUUGCCACUGAUGUAUAAGGUAGGGGUGAAGGUCAUCAUCUAGGAAUUGAUAAGAGUGAGGUGAAGGGGAGUGUAUCUUGGUGAAGGGAAAUUGAGUUUCAUCAAAGAUAACAUGCCUCGAAAUUAUUAAUUUUCUAUUAGACAAAUCAAAACACUUGUAACCUCUAUGAUUC
rnacentral:lncRNA from 1 species